rnacentral:tRNA from 1 species
GGACUCGUGCCUGAAACAGGGUUACUUUGAUAGAGUAAAUAAUGAGGGUUAAAGCCCCUCCGGCUCCC